rnacentral:tRNA from 2 species
GCAGCCGUGGCUGACUGGUUACGGCGUUCGCUUUGAAAGCGAAUGGUUCUGGUUUCGAAUUCCAUCUGCUCCC